rnacentral:rRNA from 1 species
AAUAGAUACCCUGGUAGUCCUGGCCGUAAACGAUGAGCACUGGAUCGAGGACUCCCCCAUAGGUUCUCGGUCGUAGCGAAAGUGUUAAGUGCUCCGCCUGGGGAGUAUGGCCGCAAGGCUGAAACUCAAAGGAAUUGACGGGGGCUCACACAAGCGGUGGAGGAUGUGGCUUAAUUCGAGGCUACGCGAAGAACCUUAUCCAGGCCUUGACAUGUACGGAUUAACCUUAUGAAAGUAGGGCCACGCCUUCGGGUGGAACGUACACAGGUGCUGCAUGGCUGUCGUCAGCUCGUGUCGUGAGAUGUCGGGUUAAGUCCCUUAACGAGCGAAACCCUUGUCUCUAGUUGCCAGCGCGUAAUGGCGGGGACUCUAGAGAGACUGCCGGUGUUAAACCGGAGGAAGGUGGGGAUGACGUCAAGUCCUCAUGGCCUUUAUGGCCUGGGCUGCACACGUCCUACAAUGGCGCAUACAAAGGGAAGCAAGCUCGCGAGAGUUAGCAAAUCCCAUAAAGUGCGCCCCAGUUCGGAUUGCAGG